UAAUACACCUGUUUGUGACGCUCUCGGCAGGCUCUCGUCGAACCGAGCUUACAUUGUAAGUGGCGCUCAGUGUGCAAUCUAAUCACUUUGGUGAGACGGCAUUAGGUCGUUUUGGUUGAUGGCGCCAAGUUUGGUGAGCCCGGAAUUGCUCUCGUCGCUAUUCGCAAUUCUCUACACAGUUCGCCGUUAGCUGCGCAAAUUUGGUAUUUUCAAGUUAAUAUCGCACUCGUCGAGACUUAUCAACGGCAGUAAACAAUUGUCAGUCAGCACUAGUGCAAUGUUCUACGCUUGCCAGUGCCCAAAUCGAAUUAUUCGAAUGUUAACUUGGUUUUGAAAGUAAAAUUAAUCGAACUUUUGUUGUUUACCGUCAUGCGUGUGGCAGUGUGCAUUGCUUUUAAUUACAGAAAAUAUUUGUAAAAUUUUCGAAUGAGUGGCGGUUAAAAAUAACUUGUUCAAACAUAUCAUUCGCUGCAGUGGUGACUGAAAUAAACUUCUCUGAGAUUUAAGAGUGUUUAAAUUCAAUGCAAAUAUAUGUUUAUUCAUUUGUUCGAAAAAUAAAAAAAAAUUCUCUCUUCUUCACUGAAGAUUAACAUGCGUCUUAAACAAAUUUUGACCAACAACAAUGUAAAUAUUUACCUAGCAAUUAACUAGGCCAAAAGUUUGCACUAAAUAAGUAAAUGAAGGAAAUGAGCAAUAAUUAUGAAUUGAAAGUGAAAAAUACAUAUAUAUUUUACAAAAAAAGCAAUGAGCUUGCCAAAUUACUACAGGCUGAGUGAAAAAUACAAUGACUGAAAAUCGAAAAAAAAUUUACAAUGAAAAUUUUUUAAUUUGAAAUUAAAUGUAAAUACAUGAAAAAACAAUAUGAACCAAAAAAAUUGUUAAAUGGAGUUUAAAAAUUAUAAGUGUAAAUAAAAAAUAAAAACAAAUAAAAAAUUGGGGGAUUACACAAAACAACCACGCUGUCAUCGUCAUAGACAGCUAAAAAUA